rnacentral:rRNA from 1 species
AUGCUGGAGGUAUCAGAAGUGCGAAUGCUGACAUAAGUAACGAUAAAGCGGGUGAAAAGCCCGCUCGCCGGAAGACCAAGGGUUCCUGUCCAACGUUAAUCGGGGCAGGGUGAGUCGACCCCUAAGGCGAGGCCGAAAGGCGUAGUCGAUGGGAAACAGGUUAAUAUUCCUGUACUUGGUGUUACUGCGAAGGGGGGACGGAGAAGGCUAUGUUGGCCGGGCGACGGUUGUCCCGGUUUAAGCGUGUAGGCUGGUUUUCCAGGCAAAUCCGGAAAAUCAAGGCUGAGGCGUGAUGACGAGGCACUACGGUGCUGAAGCAACAAAUGCCCUGCUUCCAGGAAAAGCCUCUAAGCAUCAGGUAACAUCAAAUCGUACCCCAAACCGACACAGGUGGUCAGGUAGAGAAUACCAAGGCGCUUGAGAGAACUCGGGUGAAGGAACUAGGCAAAAUGGUGCCGUAACUUCGGGAGAAGGCACGCUGAUAUGUAGGUGAAGUCCCU